rnacentral:misc_RNA from 1 species
GAUGAAGAACGUAGCGAAAUGCGAUACGUAAUGUGAAUUGCAAAUUCAGUGAAUCAUCGAGUCUUUGAACGCACAUUGCGCCCCCUGGUAUUCCGGGGGGCAUGCCUGUCCGAGCGUCAUUGCUGCCCUCAAGCACGGCUUGUGUGUUGGGCCCCGUCCUCCGAUCCCGGGGGACGGGCCCGAAAGGAAGCGGCGGCACCGCGUCCGGUCCUCGAGCGUAUGGGGCUUUGUCACCCGCUCUGUAGGCCCGGCCGGCGCUUGCCGAUCAACCCAAAUUUUUAUCCAGGUUGACCUCGGAUCAGGUAGGGAUACCCGCUGAACUUAAGCAUAUCAAUAAGCGGAGGA